rnacentral:misc_RNA from 1 species
GUCACCGCGUGUCUCUACUGUGACCGGCUGUUGCUCCCUGACUUUAUCUCACCAUCACUCUAGAUUAAUACCCAUUCAAGAACGCCUCCUCUUCAUGUGUGAAUGGAAGAAUAAGAAGAACAAGCUAAUUAACAUCUUCUGCCCGAUAAAUCUUUCUAAGUUUCUUCUGUAUUUUGCUACCGCUGUCCAUUUCUACCCGGUUCCGAUCAGCUAUGGAGUUCUUCCACAACGCCAAGGCCGUGCGUCUCCGUAGCCACCACAACAAGUACCUCCUAGCUGACGAAGAUGAGGAAUCUGUCUCCCAAGACCGAAACGGAUCCUCCAAGAGCACUAGAUGGACUGUGGAGUCCGUCCUUGGAUCCGACACCAUAAUCCGCCUUAAGUCUUGCUAUGGUAAGUACCUCACCGCUUCUAACCAGCCUUUUCUUCUUGGCAUGACUGGUCGCAAGGUCCUUCAGACUUUGCCCAGGAGGCUUGAUUCCUCCGUCGACUGGGAACCCAUCAGGGAUGGGACUCAGGUUAAGCUCAAGACCCGGUAUGGAAACUUCUUGAGAGCCAACGGGGGACUCCCGCCUUGGAGAAAUUCGGUGACUCAUGAUAUUCCUCAUAGAACUGCUACUCAAGAUUGGGUUCUUUGGGACGUUGAUAUUGUUGAUAUUCAAGUCAGGUCUUCGCGUCAAGAGAAGUCGGAGCCGCAACCCAUCCCUCAUUCAGAUUCUUUGGAUUUCGAUCCCAGUUCGCCCUCUUCGGUCUCUAUCAAAUCUGGCACUUUUUCGAGACAAGAGUCGACUGAAUCUAAUGUGAGUUCGCCUCCUAAAUCUGAGGGAAGAACUAUAUACUACCACCUGGCGGAUGAGAGUGGGGAUGUAGAUGAUGAUAUUGUGGAGGCUUAUUCAUUGCAUUUUAAGGGAAAUGGCGUUGAUGGGUUGACUCAGAAAUUAAGGGAAGAGACGGGUCUUCAGGAUAUUAUUGUCUGUUCUCGUAGUCCUUUGAAUGGAAAGCUUUAUCCACUUCGAUUGCAGCUUCCUCCAAACAAUGCCGAUAUGCAUGUCGUCGUAAUUGAGUCAUCGUCCAAAGUGGCCAAAGAUUUUGCAAACCAAGGAGUCGCAUUAUGACAUACAAUGGAGGGGACAGUCAUUGAAGUUUUGUUAUUUUUUCACAAUUAUUUCUUCUGUACAUUCUAUUCAGUCCUCUUAUCAUCGAGUUGAAAGGACAACGAGAACCUAUUUAUCAAAUGGAACAACCUUUUCCGACCAUGGUGGUUGGACAGUAAGAAAUUAAAGAAUCUUGUGGAGUGAAGCUAUUAGCGGUCCGAGUCUUUUUCUCAUCUUAAUUAGCAAGGCCUGGCCUGUGCAACUGAAAAGUACUGCCGGUGAAAUGGAAUCGUGGGUUUUAAAGAUUCAGGUAGUGUCUAGAAUGGUGACACAUAGUCAAGAUGAAUUUGAGCGAUUCGGGUGACAUGAUGCUUUUGAGGUCAUGCGACUACUUCAUUAUAGGAGAUUGAUUCUGAUAGGGUUACGCUGUAUGUCUAUGAAAAUCCUCUCUUUUCAACACGAAAAAUUCUUAUUUAUAAGAUUAACACGUCAAUAUUUAUCUGAUGGGUGUAAAGUUACUAUAAAUGGAUUGUCUUAAUCAUUGAAAUCUGUUUGAUUGAAAUCUGUUUAAGGGGUUCAAUCGAAUUAUUUUUAGUAAUAAUAUUUUUGGUACAUGGGAUCCAAUGAAGAAAUACAUUAGGUGAGCGUAAUAUAUUUAUUAUUUAACUGAUUUAUCCUAAAUGAACGUACAUGUCAACAUUCUAAUGAAAGAUUUUGAAGCUUAAACAAGUCAGAAAUUAACACAAAUUAGGUAUAUAUAAAUUUAAAUAUUUAAUCCUCACUUUUUAUGAGUGAACCACGAUGAAAUCACUAUAGUAAUAAAUAUUAUUUUUUGUCUAUAUAUUUUCUAGUCACAUUGAUUAAGCUAUAUCAAUGACAUCAACCGGCAAUGUGGGUUGAUAUUGCCGUGGUGAGCUCGUUUAGCGAGGCCGCUGACCAACUGAUGUUUCUAUUACGGGGAACUAUAAGAUCGCUUUGAUAUGAGGGUUGGUCGGUGUCCAUCUUUGGUUUAGGAUUAUGGGCAACAUAGCGAAAAGGAUAAAGAUAUUGCUGAGUAGUUUUCUGUUUCAUUGGCUUAAGAAAAGUUCAAAUUCUUCUAAGAUGGGCCCUUGUUGUUUUGAGAGUUCAUAUGUUUGUGCUCUAAAGGCAUCCAACUCCUUUCUUAGUCAUUUGCGCUUCCAUAUCAU